UACGUAGGGGGCAAGCGUUGUCCGGAAUCAUUGGGCGUAAAGAGCGUGUAGGCGGCCCGGUAAGUCCGCUGUGAAAGUCCAGGGCUCAACCCUGGGAUGCCGGUGGAUACUGUCGGGCUCGAGUCCGGAAGAGGAGUGUGGAAUUCCUGGUGUAGCGGUGAAAUGCGCAGAUAUCAGGAGGAACACCCGUAGCGAAGGCGGCACUCUGGGCCGGAACUGACGCUGAGGAGCGAAAGCGUGGGGAGCGAACAGG
rnacentral:rRNA from 1 species